ensembl:Mt_tRNA
ACUCUCAAAGGAUAGAAGUAAUCCAAUGGUCUUAGGAACCAUCCACCUUGGUGCAAAUCCAAGUGAGAGUA